rnacentral:rRNA from 1 species
GGGGUGAUGGCCUACCAAGGCGACGACGGGUAGCCGGCCUGAGAGGGCGACCGGCCACACUGGGACUGAGACACGGCCCAGACUCCUACGGGAGGCAGCAGUGGGGAAUAUUGCACAAUGGGCGCAAGCCUGAUGCAGCGACGCCGCGUGAGGGAUGACGGCCUUCGGGUUGUAAACCUCUUUCAGCUCCGACGAAGCGCAAGUGACGGUAGGAGCAGAAGAAGCGCCGGCCAACUACGUGCCAGCAGCCGCGGUAAGACGUAGGGCGCGAGCGUUGUCCGGAUUUAUUGGGCGUAAAGAGCUCGUAGGCGGCUUGUUGCGUCGGCUGUGAAAACCCAUGGCUCAACCGUGGGCUUGCAGCCGAUACGGGCAGGCUAGAGUUCGGUAGGGGAGACUGGAAUUCCUGGUGUAGCGGUGAAAUGCGCAGAUAUCAGGAGGAACACCGGUGGCGAAGGCGGGUCUCUGGGCCGAUACUGACGCUGAGGAGCGAAAGCGUGGGGAGCGAACAGGAUUAGAUACCCUGGUAGUCCACGCUGUAAACGUUGGGCGCUAGGUGUGGGGGACCUCUCCGGUUCUCUGUGCCGCAGCUAACGUAUUAAGCGCCCCGCCUGGGGAG